GACGAACGCUGGCGGCGUGCCUAAUACAUGCAAGUUGAGCGCUGAAGGUUGGUACUUGUACCCACUGGAUGAGCAGCGAACGGGUGAGUAACGCGUGGGGAAUCUGCCUUUGAGCGGGGGACAACAUUUGGAAACGAAUGCUAAUACCGCAUAAAAACUUUAAACACAAGUUUUAAGUUUGAAAGAUGCAAUUGCAUCACUCAAAGAUGAUCCCGCGUUGUAUUAGCUAGUUGGUGAGGUAAAGGCUCACCAAGGCGAUGAUACAUAGCCGACCUGAGAGGGUGAUAGGCCACAAUGGGACGGAGACACGGCCCAAACUCCUAAGGGAGGAAGCAGUAGGGAAUCGUAGGCAAUGGACGAAAGGCUGACCGAGCAACGCCGCGUGAGUGAAGAAGGUUUUCGGAUCGUAAAACUCGGUUGGUAGAGAAGAACGUUGGUGAGAGUGGAAAGCCCAUCAAGUGACGGUAACUACCCAGAAAGGGACGGCUAACUACGUG
rnacentral:rRNA from 1 species